AUCACUUCUCAGCCUUUUGGCUGAGAUCAAGUGUAGAUGUUUCUGAUAUGUUUAGCAGUAUUUGCUAUUUAAGUGUAUUAAUUUCAUUUGCUCUUAGAAGAACUGUUUGUCUUCAGUCUCUGGUAGCACUGAUUGAAAAUUUUUGCUUUCUAUCCACUAGGUAUAACUCGGAAAAACCCCA
rnacentral:snRNA from 1 species